GGCGCGGCGCACGUGGCCGAGGUGUGUGGGAGCGGGGCCGCCGCGUGCGGCCGCCGUUACGUAAGCGCGCGGGGCGGGGGCGCGGCGCCUCACGGCGGCUCGAGCGGGACCGCGGGGCGCCCUCGCUGCCCGAAGCAGGAGGCUCCAGGCCCGGCUGCCGUGUCGAGGAGCCCGGCCGAUGCCCCGGCGUCCCAGUGGUCUGCGGGCCGGAGAUGGACGCGGCCGGGCCGGAGCGGGAGGAGGCGGCCGGCCCCGGGCAGCGCCGGCGGGCUGCAGGCUCCCCCGCCGCGGUGCGGAGCUCCGGCGGGACCGACUUCUGCCGCCGGGAGCCGCACCGCUGCUCGGUGCGGACUUUGGCGCGGCACAGCAGAGUUACCAGUGAACGGCUGAACUGGAACCAGUCUCACAGAGAUCUGAUGUUGAUGAUCCAAGAAAUGAAGAGGUGUUUGCCUGAAGAGAAGAGGAGUUCCAGCAAGCCCAGUACCAUCAGUGCUCUCAGCUACGCCUUGCAGUGUGUCCAACAGGUCCAAGCAAACAAUGACUUUUUCCAGGCUCUGAAUGACCGAAGAGUGUUUCAGACAGAUGUGAUGACAUACAGCGUAGAAGAGUUGGUGGCCGUUGCAUCUGAACACACUCCAAAAAAUCCUGACACGUUUGUGGCUGUGUUUUCCUUGCUUUCUGGACGCAUGGUACAUAUUUCUGAGCAGGCAGCGUCCAUUCUGAACUGCAAGAAGAAACUGUUGGACUCCUCGCGGUUCGUAGAGCUGCUCGUCCCUCAGGAUGUAAGCGUGUUCUACACACACACCGACCAGGCCCACCUGCCGCUUUGGAGCACAGAAAGUCAAACAGCUUCUCUGUAUGAGUAUGCCCAGGUGAAAUCCUUUUUCUGCAGGAUCAGAUGUGGUAAAGAUCAAAAACAAGAAACACGCUGUUACCCCUUCCGAAUCACACCAUACUUGGUCCAUGUGUGUACUUCUGUCCACGCGGAUGCAGAAUCCUGCUGCUUAGCUUUGGCUGAGAAAAUUCACUCUGGAUACGAAGCUCCUCGGAUUCCUACAGAUAAAAGAAUCUUCACCACCACUCACACCCCUGGAUGUGUUUUUCUUGAGAUAGAUGACAGAGCAGUGCCUUUGUUGGGUUACUUACCUCAGGAUUUAAUUGGAACGUCCAUACUGAUGUAUUUGCACCCAGAAGAUCGUCCUUUGAUGAUUGCUAUUCACAGGAAAAUUCUGAAAUUCGCUGGCCAAUCCCCUUUUGAACAUUUGCCUAUUAGAUUCUGUACUCAAAAUGGGGAUUAUGUUAUACUGGAUACCAGCUGGUCCAGUUUUGUGAAUCCAUGGAGCAGGAAAGUAGUGUUCAUCAUUGGCCGCCACAAAGUCCGGACAAGCCCUCUGAAUGAAGAUGUCUUUGCUGCAAGAAGUAAAGAAACAAGCAGUGUCAAGGAAGAGAUCAGAGAGUUGCAAGGACAAAUAUACAGGCUACUGCUGCAGUUUCUGUUUUUUCCCCUCAUACAGCCAGUUCACAGUAAUGUUUCCAGUGGUUAUGGAAGCCUUGGAAGCAGUGGCUCUUAUGAACACUACAUCAGCAUAGCAUCGUCCAGUGACUCCAAUGGGAAUUGUGCGGAGGAAAUACAGGAACCAAUGACAUUGCAACAGGUUUGUGCAGAUGUCAACCGAAUAAAGAAUCUGGGACAGCAACUGUAUAUUGCAUCAAGGAGCAAGCCACAGGAUGGACAUGGACAGGCUGCGAUCUCAGAAGUGCUGGGAGGAGAGAGGCGCGCUGCUGCCUGCUGCCUUCGCGCUCCGGGGGGUGGCAGCGCAGGAGAACCGGGCAACGCGCUUUACGCUGAUUCGAAAAAGCCUCCACGCGUUCCUUCCUAUCAGCAGAUCAAUUGUGUUGAUACUAUCAUCAGAUAUCUAGAGAGCUGCAGCAUUCCAGCAUUGAAAAGGAAAUGUAAAUCUUCUGCAAAUACAUCAUCAUCAUCUUCAGAAGAUGACAAGCAAGUCCAGCAAAGUCAGCAGGAAGUUGAGGCAUUGGAGGAUGCUACUGUGCUUUCGGCAGUUCAUUCCCGGGCUGGGGAAUCCGCUGGUCGGGAGAUGCCGAAGGGCCGGGCGGCUGCGGGCGUGGCCGCAGCUCCUCUGGCAGACCUGGGCCUCUCCACCCAGGCGCCCAGCGUGGUGUCGGUCACCAGCCAGUGCAGCUACAGCAGCACCAUCGUGCACGUCCCGCACCCUGAAUCAGAAGUGACUACAGUGGAGGAUCCUGUGCUUGGAAUUGAACAGACUGAGCUGCCUCCUGUGAAUGCUCAGAAUCUCACCGUGCUGCCUGAGGACCUGAAGCCAGUUGGGCUAACAAAAGAGACGUUGUCAGCGCACACUCAGAAGGAAGAGCAGAACUACGUUGACAAGUUCCGCCAGAGGAUCUUGCUCUCUCCAUUUAGGACUUACCUUCAGCAGGGGAGCAGAAGUAACAACGGACAUUCCUGUGGCCAAGGAGAUUCCCCUUCAAAGCAGAUGAGCCCAGCUAGCUGUAAAAAAGGCAAACAUGGAAAAUUCAAGCGCCAGAAACCUCAGAGACAGUCCUCAGAUAGCCACUCUUCUAGUAAGAACAGAAAUAGUCUUCCAUGUGAGAAGAGAACAAUUCAGACACAGUCAUUUUCUCCCUCGGAACUGUCCUGUCUGAGCUCCUCCAGCGCGAAUGUCCUUCCUCCUGUGGGACUUCCUGCCUGUUCGGAUCCACUGCCCACUUUCCCAGCGUCUUCGUUAGGAGAGGAGCUUGCCCUUCGCUGGUUACAGCCCGAGUCCACGCCAUUGUCCCGACAGUGCUGUGAAGCACAGUCAUGCCCAGCACUGUAUCCCCCAAAUGUAGGCAUGUUUAUGGCUGUGUUUUUUCAGAGUAUUCCCAUAUAUGCUCAGAUGCCUCAAUAUGUCUUUCUUCCUAGCCCUCAGUCUGUUUAUCCCCCGUCUUCAUACCCAUGCACUACGCUGCCUGCAGCCCCCCCUCCCGCUCCAUCACCGAUCACACCACGCUCUCUGGAUCAGCCCCUUCCGGCCUCUUCUGCCUCAUCUGUGAGGGACCAGCCAGAGGGCCAGCGCGACCAGGCCCUCCUGUUGAGCAGCUCCCGGAGCAGCUCCCCGCUUCAGCUGAAUUUGCUUCAAGAAGAGCUGCCGAAGCCCAUGGAGCUUUCUGUUAGUACUGAUGUUAAAGCACGUGCAGAAGCUAAAUGUGGAUGCAGCUAAUGAACGAAGAACAGGGAUCCGUGUGGGUCGGUUUCCAUACAUGGGCAUAGAAAAGGCCUCUCCAGCUUCCGCGGUAAACUCAGAGACAGGAAUCUGAGCUCUGCAGUCAAGGAAAAAAAUGUUGGCUCCCGAAUCCAGAUUGGGCUGGGAAGGCUGGAUCAGCUGAAACUGCAGGGACAGUGAUCUGGAAGACAGCCGUUGCGCCUCUAGUGAUCUCACUGGCUGCUGGCUCUAUGAGGACUCCCAGUCUGGCGCAGGUUCAGCAGCAUCAGGCAGUGGAUCAGCUUUAUCUGGUUCUUUAGGCUCUGGCUCCAAUAAGACUUCUGGUUGUGGCACAGGUAGUGGGAAAAGCAGCAAGUAUUUUGCCAGUAAUGAUUGUUCUGAAGCUUCCAAAGAAGAGAAGAAUUGGGAAGCAGGAGAAAAAGGGACAGCUCAUAAAUCCAAACCUGAGUCAGUCUGGGUGAUGAUGGAUCACACACCUGAGCGAGUUCUAAUGACUUACCAAAUGCCAAACAGGAUUAAAGAGGAGGUUUUGAAGGAGGAUCUGGAGAAGCUGACCGUCAUGCAAAAGCAGCAGCCAUGGUUCACGGAUGGGCAGAAGAGGGAGCUGGCAGAGGUGCAUACAUGGAUCCGGACCCAGACUGUCCCAGUGCAGAUCAGCACCCAGGGCUGUGCUACAUGUGACAUUAGGGAAGCGAGCUGUGAGGCUGCACUGGCUGAUGACAAUGUGGAAAACAAGGGAAAAUCGCCUCCGCUCCUGCAACGUUGAAGGCAUCAGCACUUGUGUCUGGGAACUUGUCAAAAUGAUGACUCCCGUUGUCCCAGUUGUAUAAAAAGAGGCAGAGACACAAAGCACUUGCGCAGGUGCAUACCCCCACUUCAUACCAAACCCAGGAGUAUCAUCUGGGGAUCUUCACCCACUGUGUCCUCUGCAUCUUUGCUACAAGUGGUCAAGAUUCUGAUUUUGUACGUAGAAGCUUGAUCAUACGAAAUGUGUGUCUUGUUUGGAGAUGUUAGCCCUUCUUGUACCACCUACUACUACGAAUUUGUGCCCAGUAGGAUCAUAUAGAAACAGAAAUCCUAGACAGUUUUUGUAGUGCUGUGAACACCAUGCCCUCCGAUUGUAUGUAGUGAUGGUGCAUGUGCCUAGGAGUUCGAAUUAGAAGUCUGUAAUGCUGUCCAGAUCUUAGGUACACGAUUCCAUAUCUGGGGCUACGUGAGUCCUGGGUUAUAGGAAAAAUUAUGGUAUGGGAGAAGAAUGUAAGAGGGAUGAAGAGGGCAAUCAGUGCUGUGUGUGACAAUGAAACUGAAUUAUUCACUUAAAAACACAAACUGUCAUGGCUGUGCUUAAAAGCACAAAUGGUCUUGGCUGCAAAACCAGGUUUAGCUAAUGUUUACCCCCCUAGAACCACAAUAUCUUGUCAUCAAAUGCCUUAUCAAGCCUUUUGGGAAGGGCCUCCUUUCCAGAUGUUUUCAGGAACUGGCAGUUUUUACUUCAGCUUAUAUUAAUCUUGCAGUCUUUGUAGUUCUCUGGGGUAGAUGAAGUGAGAUCCAGUUCUGAUCUGAAAGACCAAUGGAGUAAAUAUUGCAGCCAGAUUUGCACAUGCUGUUUUGUUUAUGUGACUUUGUUCUGCCUGGCGUAAUUAAAACGCUCCAGACGGUUAGAGCUGGUUGGGAGGCCGGGUGGUUGGUGGUCGGAGAAGCACGCGGGUCCGGCGGCGGUGCCGUUCCUGCCCCCCGUGGGGGCGUCCGCGCUUCGGAAACCCUCGGUGGUGGAUUUCGCUGGCAGCUUUUUUGUUAUAUUCAUGAAUACAGAGUUCUGUUUUUAAAAGAUGAGUUGAUGUGCAGAUAUUUUCAUGGCAUUGCUAUGAACAUGAGGGACCCUAGUGUGUUUUUACAGUAUGCAGUAUUUGCUGAAUGAGUAAUGUGUUGGUAAAUUUAUAUUCUAGCUGAACUGAGUUUUAAAUUGCAGUCUAAUGAGAUUUUACAUCAGUUGAUAGGAAUAUUUUAUUGAAAUAAUAUUCAGCUGUGGUUGAAUUUACAGUUGUGAUUUUAACUGUACACUUUAAAGGAGCUUCUGGUUUUUAUAAAUAAAACUGAAAAAUGUGCUGCAA